rnacentral:rRNA from 1 species
CGAAGGGGGCUAGCGUUGUUCGGAAUUACUGGGCGUAAAGCGCGCGUAGGCGGCUCUUCAAGUCAGGCGUGAAAGCCCCGGGCUUAACCCGGGAAUAGCGCUUGAUACUGUUGGGCUUGAGUCCGGGAGAGGAUAGUGGAAUUCCCAGUGUAGAGGUGAAAUUCGUAGAUAUUGGGAAGAACACCAGUGGCGAAGGCGGCUAUCUGGACCGGAACUGACGCUGAGGCGCGAAAGCGUGGGGAGCAAACAGG